GACAGCAGCAGCCGCGGGAAUACAGAGGGUGCGAGCGUUAAUCGGAUUUACUGGGCGUAAAGCGUGCGUAGGCAGCUUUUUAAGUCGGAUGUGAAAUCCCCGAGCUUAACUUGGGAAUUGCAUUCGAUACUGGGAAGCUAGAGUAUGGGAGAGGAUGGUAGAAUUCCAGGUGUAGCGGUGAAAUGCGUAGAGAUCGGAAAGGACACCAACGGCGAAAGCACUCUGCUGGGCCGACACUGACACUGAGAGACGAAAGCUAGGGGAGCAAAUGGGAUUAGAUACCCGAGUAGUCCCUGUCUCUUAUAC
rnacentral:rRNA from 1 species